rnacentral:rRNA from 1 species
AUUGAACGCUGGCGGCAUGCCUUACACAUGCAAGUCGAACGGCAUCGCGGGAAAGCUUGCUUUCCUGGCGGCGAGUGGCGAACGGGUGAGUAACACAUCGGAACGUACCGGCUAGUGGGGGAUAACCCGUCGAAAGACGGGCUAAUACCGCAUACGCUCUUCGGAGGAAAGCAGGGGACCUUUGGGCCUUGCGCUAGUCGAGCGGCCGAUGUCCGAUUAGCUAGUUGGUGGGGUAAAGGCCUAUCAAGGCGACGAUCGGUAGCGGGUCUGAGAGGACGAUCCGCCACACUGGGACUGAGACACGGCCCAGACUCCUACGGGAGGCAGCAGUGGGGAAUCUUGGACAAUGGGGGCAACCCUGAUCCAGUAAUGCCGCGUGGGUGAAGAAGGCCUUCGGGUUGUAAAGCCCUUUCGGCAGGGAAGAAAUCGGCGGGGCGAAUAACCCUGCUGGAUGACGGUACCUGCAGAAGAAGCACCGGCUAACUACGUG